rnacentral:rRNA from 1 species
GAUGAACGCUGGCGGCGUGCCUAAUACAUGCAAGUCGAGCGAACGGACGAGAAGCUUGCUUCUCUGAUGUUAGCGGCGGACGGGUGAGUAACACGUGGAUAACCUACCUAUAAGACUGGGAUAACUUCGGGAAACCGGAGCUAAUACCGGAUGAUAUUUUGAACCGCAUGGUUCAAAAGUGAAAGACGGUCUUGCUGUCACUUAUAGAUGGAUCCGCGCUGCAUUAGCUAGUUGGUAAGGUAACGGCUUACCAAGGCAACGAUGCAUAGCCGACCUGAGAGAGGGAUCGGCCACAUUGGAACUGAGACACGGUCCAUACUACUACGGGAGGGAGCAGUAGGGAAUCGUCCGCAAUGGGCGAAAGCAUGACGGAGCAACGCCGCGUGAGUGAUGAAGGUCUUCGGAUCGUAAAACUCUGUUAUGAGGGAAGAACAGAUGUGUAAGGAACUGUGCACAUCGUGACGGUACCUAAUCAGAAAGCCACGGCUAACUACGUG